rnacentral:rRNA from 1 species
AUACGGAGGAUGCAAGCGUUAUCCGGAUUUAUUGGGUUUAAAGGGUGCGUAGGCGGUUUGCUAAGCGGGAGGUGAAAUGCCGGCGCUCAACGUCGGAAGUGCCUCCCGAACUGGUGGACUGGAAUGACUCUGCCGUGGGAGGAAUGUGUAGUGUAGCGGUGAAAUGCUUAGAGAUUACACAGAACACCGAUUGCGAAGGCAUCUCACGAAGGGUUGAUUGACGCUGAGGCACGAAAGCGUGGGGAUCAAACAGGAUUAGAUACCCUGGUAGUCCACGCAGUAAACGAUGAUUACUAGCUGUUUGCGAUACAAUGUAAGCGGCUGAGCGAAAGCGUUAAGUAAUCCACCUGGGGAGUACGUUCGCAAGAAUGGAACUCAAAGGAAUUGACGGGG